UAANNCAUGCAAGUCGAGCGGUAGAGAGAAGCUUGCUUCUCUUGAGAGCGGCGGACGGGUGAGUAAUGCCUAGGAAUCUGCCUGGUGGUGGGGGAUAACGUUCGGAAACGGACGCUAAUACCGCAUACGUCCUACGGGAGAAAGCAGGGGACCUUCGGGCCUUGCGCUAUCAGAUGAGCCUAGGUCGGAUUAGCUAGUUGGUGGGGUAAUGGCUCACCAAGGCGACGAUCCGUAACUGGUCUGAGAGGAUGAUCAGUCACACUGGAACUGAGACACGGUCCAGACUCCUACGGGAGGCAGCAGUGGGGAAUAUUGGACAAUGGGCGAAAGCCUGAUCCAGCCAUGCCGCGUGUGUGAAGAAGGUCUUCGGAUUGUAAAGCACUUUAAGUUGGGAGGAAGGGCAGUUACCUAAUACGUGAUUGUUUUGACGUUACCGACAGAAUAAGCACCGGCUAACUCUGUGCCAGCAGCCGCGGUAAUACAGAGGGUGCAAGCGUUAAUCGGAAUUACUGGGCGUAAAGCGCGCGUAGGUGGUUUGUUAAGUUGGAUGUGAAAUCCCCGGGCUCAACCUGGGAACUGCAUUCAAAACUGACUGACUAGAGUAUGGUAGAGGGUGGUGGAAUUUCCUGUGUAGCGGUGAAAUGCGUAGAUAUAGGAAGGAACACCAGUGGCGAAGGCGACCACCUGGAC
rnacentral:rRNA from 1 species